rnacentral:lncRNA from 1 species
UUCUUCUCUGAAGAACAUGCGAACCAAGCCUCAAUUUUAGUCCAAAUCCAAAGCGAGUGAGCCUCAAAUCUAUCCUCACGCGUUCCUUCUUCUCUCCUCACCACCAUUUCUAACGGUUUCUGACGCUAAUAUUCCCUUUCCUCUCACUCGCUCGAAAUUGAGUUUUAUCCCACGAUUGGAAGCUUCUGGGAACGAUUUGCCAGAUUAGUGUGAGGCAUUGGAUUGAUUUCACUCAAUCCCAAGCCCACAUUCAUCAGGAAUUCAUUUUCAAAGGGAUCUCUAUCCGAUUUUGAAAGGGACUCAAAAAGAUUUGAAAAAAAAGGGUUGAAAGGUUUCUAAAGUGAAACUUCUGUUCUUCAGAUUCUAUUUUCUUCUUUGAAGAGUUCUUUCAAGGUUUAAAGGGAACAUAUAUACAAAUUUUUUAUUUUUGAAUCCGAUUUUUGAAUGCCUAAGAGAUAGAAAUGAAUGGAGGUCGUUCAACUAGUGGUGAGAUUUAAGGUUGUCGACUUCAAUUUUCUACUUUCGUCUUGCUAGUUGCUGCUGAACCUCGUUAGGAUUUGGAGUCGAAAGGUAUGUUGUUGAGUCUGUAAUUAUUACAGAAAGUUUGAAAUAUCAGGUAAAAUUUGCUCAAUGGUAUUCUGUUCCAUGAUUGAAUUUUUGUUGAUGACUUUCUUCUCAAUGGUAUGAUGUGUUUUAGUAUAUCCAGCCAGUAGAAGCUGAGUCUGAAGGGUCGUCCUCUGUGCUUUUGCUUUGAUUGCUAUAAUGAUGUCGAGUUUUCAUUUAAGUCAAGAUUUCGAGUUAAUUUUCUGAGUUUAAAGGUCUAUUGGAAUGGUUCUGGUGUGGAAGUUUGACAGCCUGUUCAAGGUUGGAUGUCUGCUUGAAGUGUUGAAUCACUUAACAUUAUCAGCUCUUUCUCUACUUAUUUCAGCUUGUAAUUUGAUGUGCGUAGAUCAAUAUAGGAUUUGUGGUUCCUCUUUAGCUUCAAUAUUAGCUCAUGAAAUCAGUAAACGAUUGUUUUUUGGUGUUUAUCACGACCUGCUAUGGAAGUUGAGAAAUAAGCAAUUCAAUUCCUGUUUUAAAGCAGUAGCUGGUCUAAAUUGCAGCUAUCAAAGGGAGUGCUAUUGCUGGACUCAUUGCAGCUUCAUUUCUUUCUAACAACAACAACAACAACUACCCAGUAUACUCCCACCAGGUGGGGUCUGGGGAAGGUAAUNN